AGAGUUGAUCAUGGCUCAGAACGAACGCUGGUGGCGUGUCUUAUACAUGCAAGUCGAGCGAGGCAGCAAUGCCGAGCGGCGAACGGGUGAGUAACGCGUAAGCAAUCUGCCCCAUAUCAGGAAAUACCCGUGCCAACGCGCGGUUAAUGUCCAGGAGAGUGGCUCCUUGCAUGAGGAGUUGACUAGAGAUUUAUCGGUAUGGGAUGAGCUUGCGUCCGAUUAGCUAGUUGGCGGGGCAACGGCCCACCAAGGCGACGAUCGGUAGCCGGCCUGAGAGGGUGAUCGGCCACAUUGGGACUGAGAUACGGCCCAGACUCCUACGGGAGGCAGCAGUAGGGAAUAUUGCACAAUGGGGGAAACCCUGAUGCAGCAACGCCACGUGUGGGAAGAAGCAUUUCGGUGUGUAAACCACUGUCAUGAGGGAAUAAGGCCCGCUUUCGGGCGGGAUUGAAUGUACCUUGAGAGGAAGCACCGGCAAACUUCGUGCCAGCAGCUGC
rnacentral:rRNA from 1 species